AUACUCCUAUCUUCCACUGCCUCCCGCAGUUUUUUGACCAAACUGCAGGAGGCAGUGGAAGACAGGAGUGC